rnacentral:rRNA from 1 species
GAUGUCCUACGGGACGCAGCAGUGGGGAAUAUUGGGCAGUGGGCGCAAGCCUGACCCAGCAACGCCGCGUGAAGGAAGAAGGCUUUCGGGUUGUAAACUUCUUUUGUCAGGGACGAAGCAAGUGACGGUACCUGACGAAUAAGCCACGGCUAACUACGUGCCAGCAGCCGCGGUAAUACGUAGGUGGCAAGCGUUAUCCGGAUUUAUUGGGUGUAAAGUGCGUGUAGGCGGGAAUGCAAGUCAGAUGUGACAACUAUGGGCUCAACCCAUAGCCUUCAUUUGAAACUGUAUUUCU